rnacentral:rRNA from 1 species
AAUGAACGCUGGCGGCAGGCCUAAAACAUGCAAGUCGAACGCCCUAGCAAUAGGGAGAGGCGCACGGGUGCGUAACAUGUGGGAAUAUGCCUUUUGGUACGGAACAACGUUUGGAAACGAACGCUAAUACCGUAUGGUCCCUUCGGGGUAAAGAUUUAUCGCCAAAAGAUUAGCCCGCACUGGAUUAGCUAGUUGGUGAGGUAAUGGCUCACCAAGGCGACGAUCCAUAGCUGGUCUGAGAGGAUGAUCAGCCACACUGGGACUGAGACACGGCCCAGACUCCUACGGGAGGCAGCAGUUAGGAAUAUUGGACAAUGGGCGCAAGCUUGAUCCAGCCAUGCCGCGUGAGUGAUGAAGGCCUUCGGGUUGUAAAGCUCUUUAGCCGACGAUUAUAAUGACUGUAGUCGGAGAAUAAGCCCCGGCUAACUUCGUGCCAGCAGCCGCAGUAA